GAUGAACGCUGGCGGCGUGCCUAAUACAUGCAAGUCGAGCGAACGGACGAGAAGCUUGCUUCUCUGAUGUUAGCGGCGGACGGGUGAGUAACACGUGGAUAACCUACCUAUAAGACUGGGAUAACUUCGGGAAACCGGAGCUAAUACCGGAUGAUAUUUUGAACCGCAUGGUUCAAUAGUGAAAGACGGUUUUGCUGUCACUUAUAGAUGGAUCCGCGCUGCAUUAGCUAGUUGGUAAGGUAACGGCUUACCAAGGCAACGAUGCCUAGCCGACCUGAGAGGGUGAUCGGCCACACUGGAACUGAGACACGGUCCAGACUCCUACGGGAGGCAGCAGUAGGGAAUCUUCCGCAAUGGGCGAAAGCCUGACGGAGCAACGCCGCGUGAGUGAUGAAGGUCUUCGGAUCGUAAAACUCUGUUAUUAGGGAAGAACAAAUGUGUAAGUAACUGUGCACAUCUUGACGGUACCUAAUCAGAAAGCCACGGCUAACUACGUG
rnacentral:rRNA from 1 species